rnacentral:rRNA from 1 species
UUCUCAGUUCGGAUCGGAGUCUGNAACCCGACUCCGUGAAGCUGGAUUCGCUAGUAAUCGCGCAUCAGCCAUGGCGCGGUGAAUACGUUCCCGGGCCUUGUACACACCGCCCGUCAAGCCAUGGGAGCCGGGGGUGCUUGAAGUGCGUCGCCGCAAGGCGCGCCCUAGAGCAAAACCGGUGACUGGGGCUAAGUCGUAACAAGGUACC